AGUACUUGGUUUUAUUUCUCCUUAACAGCACCAGGAAGGGAGCUGGACAGGGAGCCGUUCCCUGUUGUGAAAGUCUUUUGCCCAGAUUUGGGUUGCUUGUGCUGUGCUUGGGCUGAUGGUGACCUCGUGGAGUUCACCGUCUCCUUUGGGACCUGGCUGCAGCCCUCAGCAUCUCCCAGCACUGUCCUUGCUUUCCAGAACGGCGCCUACGAGCCCAGCAGGAUUAUUGAUUCAACGCGCUGAUUCUGUCCUGUGUGAACCCAUCUCCUGGAUGACAGCACCAGGCUUCUCAUGGGACCUUGGUGUGAGCUCAAAAUGUAACGCAGCCCUGGACAGUGCCUGGUUAAACCCGUUAUUUGGAAUACCCAACUUCCAGACAUCUGUCUCCAGAAGAAAGAAAGGGAAAAUGUUUUUGCUAUGAAGAUUAACUUCGUGUAAUUGCCAAUAGGGCUCCAGUAAAGCUAUGGAGAAGUUGAAGCAAGCACACACAUGAGAUGAUACAGAUGUAAAUGAACGAGCCAAAAGUGUUUGAAUAGACUGAGGAACAGUGGUGUGCUUUUUUUUUUUUUUUAAGUGCCUUGAGUAUUGUUACUCAGUGCAUGGACUGAGAGGAAAACCCUGAGAAUGGAAGGUUCUUUUUUUGAGCACGUGGGUGUAGUGAAUGCUGACACUGGCAUAUGACCAAAGAUAUGCAAGAUGUAGAUCUCUGGGGCAGGAGAAGAAAGAGUGGAGUAGAAAAGAAUUGGUGGUGGUGGAGACUGGGGCUACAGCUGGGGCUUCGUUUGUUACUGAUGAGAAGAGGAGAGAUGUAGGCUGUGAUGGGGCUGGAGGACUGCACCAGG